rnacentral:rRNA from 1 species
GAUGAACGCUAGCGGCAGGCUUAAUACAUGCAAGUCAAGGGGGUAGCAAUACAACCGGCGCACGGGUGAGUAACACGUACACAACAUACCAUAUACUGAGGUAUAGCUUCGGGAAACUGAAGGUAAUCCCUCAUAGUAUUGUGAAAGGGCAUCUUUUUACAAUUAAAGUUUCGACGGUAUAUGAUUGGUGUGCGUUUGAUUAGCUAGUUGGUAGGGUAACGGCCUACCAAGGCAACGAUCAAUAGCUGGCGUGAGAGCGCGACCAGCCACACUGGAACUGAGACACGGUCCAGACUCCUACGGGAGGCAGCAGUAGGGAAUAUUGGACAAUGGGCGAAAGCCUGAUCCAGCCAUGCCGCGUGGUAGAUGAAGGCCCUCUGGGUUGUAAAUAUCUUUUAUCUGGGAAGAAACACUUCUAUUCUUAGAAGCUUGACGGUACCAGAGGAAUAAGCACCGGCUAACUCCGUG